UACGGGGGGAGCAAGCGUUGUUCGGAUUUACUGGGCGUAAAGGGCGCGUAGGCGGCCACCGCAAGUCGACUGUGAAAUCUCCGGGCUUAACCCGGAAAGGUCAGCCGAUACUGCGGGGCUAGAGUGCAGAAGGGGCAACUGGAAUUCUCGGUGUAGCGGUGAAAUGCGUAGAUAUCGAGAGGAACACCUGCGGCGAAGGCGGGUUGCUGGGCUGACACUGACGCUGAGACGCGAAAGCUAGGGGAGCGAACAGG
rnacentral:rRNA from 1 species